rnacentral:rRNA from 1 species
GGCGUGGAUUAGGCAUGCAAGUCGAGCGAGAACUUAAGAGAUUAAAACUUCGGUUGAGAUUUCUUUUGGGACAGCGGCGAAAGGGUGAGUAACGCGUAGUUAUCUGCCCCAGGGUCUGGGAUAGCCUCGGGAAACUGAGGGUAAUACCGGAUAUUCUCUUCGGAGUAAAGGGACUGCCGCCCUGGGAGGAGACUGCGUCCUAUUAGCUUGUUGGUGGGGUAAUGGCCUACCAAGGCAAUGAUGGGUAGCGGGCGUGAGAGCGUGGCCCGUCACACUGGGACUGAGACACUGCCCAGACACCUACGGGUGGCUGCAGUCGAGAAUCUUCGGCAAUGGACGAAAGUCUGACCGAGCGACGCCGCGUGCGGGAUGAAGGCCUUCGGGUUGUAAACCGCUGUCAGUAGGGAGGAAAUCGAGAGGGUCCACUCUCUCGUUGACCUAUCUUCAGAGGAAGUCCGGGCUAAGUUCGUGCCAGCAGCCGCGGUAAGACGAACCGGACAAACGUUAUUCGGAAUUAUUGGGCUUAAAGGGUGCGUAGGCGGUGCGGUAAGUCGGGUGUGAAAUCCCUCGGCUCAACCGAGGAACUGCGCCCGAUACUGCCGUGCUUGAGGGAGACAGAGGUGAGCGGAACUGAUGGUGGAGCGGUGAAAUGCGUUGAUAUCAUCAGGAACACCAGUGGCGUAAGCGGCUCACUGGGUCUCUUCUGACGCUGAGGCACGAAAGCUAGGGUAGCGAACAGGAUUAGAUACCCUGGUAGUCCUAGCUGUAAACGAUGAGCACCUGGUCGGGGGCCCCCCCAUAGGUUCCCGGCCGAAGCGAAAGUGUUAAGUGCUCCGCCUGGGGAGUAUGGUCGCAAGGCAA